GAGUUUGAUCUUGGCUCAGAUUGAACGCUGGCGGCAUGCCUUACACAUGCAAGUCGAACGGCAGCACGGGAGCUUGCUCCUGGUGGCGAGUGGCGAACGGGUGAGUAAUGCAUCGGAACGUAUCCUGGAGUGGGGGACAACGUAGCGAAAGUUACGCUAAUACCGCAUAUUCUGUGAGCAGGAAAGCGGGGGACCUUCGGGCCUCGCGCUCUUGGAGCGGCCGAUGUCGGAUUAGCUAGUUGGUGAGGUAAAGGCUCACCAAGGCGACGAUCCGUAGCAGGUCUGAGAGGAUGAUCUGCCACACUGGAACUGAGACACGGUCCAGACUCCUACGGGAGGCAGCAGUGGGGAAUUUUGGACAAUGGGGGCAACCCUGAUCCAGCCAUGCCGCGUGAGUGAAGAAGGCCUCGGUGUAAG
rnacentral:rRNA from 1 species